CUCAACUACAUCUUCUGCCCGAAGGGUCUGUGUACUGGGACCUCUGGAUAGGCUGCGAAGCUCCUCAAGGUAUAUGCAGAACUUGUGACUGUAUGGAGAGGUUUUGUAGAUUCUAUCAGAGAUCAGAAGGAAGUUGCAUUGCUGAAAAGCUGUAGCGGGGGGAUCAGCUCUGUCCUGGGAGGAGUGGAGAGGAGGAGGCGUGGAGGGGCAGCAGAGCCAAUGGCUGAAGAGCACGGACUCGGGCAGCAGACUCCAUGGAUUUUGAAACUUGAUUGGAUCAUUUACUGU